UACGAAGGGGGCUAGCGUUGCUCGGAAUCACUGGGCGUAAAGGGCGCGUAGGCGGCGUUUUUAAGUCGGGGGUGAAAGCCUGUGGCUCAACCACAGAAUGGCCUUCGAUACUGGGACGCUUGAGUAUGGUAGAGGUUGGUGGAACUGCGAGUGUAGAGGUGAAAUUCGUAGAUAUUUGCAAGAACACCGGUGGCGAAGGCGGCCAACUGGACCAUUACUGACGCUGAGGCGCGAAAGCGUGGGGAGCAAACAGG
rnacentral:rRNA from 1 species